AGAUAUGAAAUUUUCUUUAUGUUGCUCUGAAGUUAUGUGGUUUUGUUCCAAGCGCCCCUGAAAAUGUCAGCUCAAGUUUUAUUCAAAUUGGAUAAGAUGAGAAAUUGCAAAAAAUGCCCCUGUCCUACAGCCUCUUACACACCUAACUGUGCUGAAGAACUUUCAGUAAUAUGUGCAUUGGAUAUAAGAACCUGGGUGAAUCAGCACUUGAGCAUUUACUGAAGUUUAACACAGCAAGGACGUGACGUGGUUCUAAAUCUUAACCACAUUAAGAAGUAAUGUCAGGAUCAGAGCCCUAGGUUCAAUAUAUACAAAUGUCUGUAAUUAUACUUAUUGAGUUAUAUUUUCAGGCUUCUAAAUCUAUUUUACAACUGAAUAUGAAAAACUUCUGAGUCUUUACCAACUAUGUCACCUUUUUAGUCAACUUUUAGGCAACUUCCUAGACAUUUAUGAAACAGAUAUAACUUCAGAAUAGGGCAGUCAUAGAAAUAUCAAUUAAUCUUUGACUACAAUUAAAUUUUCCUUUCCCUGGGCUAACACACAUCAAAUAUAAAAGACGUUGUUGACAGGGCAUACAGAGUAUACUGUUUCCCACGAUGAAACAUUUUUUGUCACAACCCAGAGCAAAUGACCAAUUCAUUUCCUGAAUGUCAACUGUGAAGGACAGGCAAGAGAAAGUCGAACCACAGCAAAGGAACAUGGGCCUUAUCAGAACUCUCACUUCACAACUAUUACAAAGAGUCAUUCACAGUGAAAGCAAUUCCUUAAUGUGACUAUAGCAAAAAUUAAUUAUGAAAUGACAAUAAAGUAUAAAUGGCAGUUUUAACAAAAUCUAGGAACUCUUUGAAGAUUUCACAGUGAAGGCCAAAAUGCCACCAUUCCACAAACACAUAAAACUUUAUAGCAGCUGAGCAGCUAUUCUGGUUAAAAUAAAAUGUAGAAAAAACAAAGCAGGCAAAAAGGACAAGAUACAAAAUACAACUCAAAAUCCUCUGAUGGUAAGUUAGAAAGAGAGAAACCUGUUAAUUCCCACUGGCCAACAGAAUGAGAUGUAAGCCAGCAUUUUAAAAUUGUACAAGGACUAAGAAAAACUGAGCCUGUGUCCAGGUGAUACUCCUGCUAACAUGCCUAAAUAUAAAAUGGAAAAAGGAGAAAUACCUGGUGUGGGAUCAAACUGGCAGACAUUUGUUCUGCUGAGCUGCUAGCAAAACAGAAAAUUCCUCUAAUAAGGGAAGAUAUAAAAAGACCCUAAUGUCAAAUAAAACAUUUUCAGUUUAGUAGUCCAGAAAACUUUUGCUCUGAGUCCACUUCCAAACUGAUGGCAUAUUUGCAAUCAAAGGAUGAUACAAUCUUUGUCCAUACUGUUUAUUAAAACUCACUACAGGGGAUAGCAAGCAGUAAAGAAAGAAACAUCUGAACUGCCUGGAGAUGAAGCCACAAAAUAAAUUCUAAAGACAGCAAUGUGUAAGUCACUCCAAGUGCAAUCAAGCAUGGAUUGAGUUAUUUGCCUACAAAGAUAAGAAGGACUGUAUUUCUUCCUGCAUCACAGGGCUAUGAAUGUCUGUUUUGGCUCUGAUCUUCCUAUGAAUCCCCAUGGAUUUGGCGCAGUUGGUGCAGGGCAGAGAAUCCCCUCAAUAUCUGGUUGCUGUCACUUGCUGGUAGGUGGCUGGAAUGGAAACAUCAGAUUUUAGGCAAGAAUUGGCUUGACAGGAAUGUUGUCCUUUUCUGCAUUUCUGCUGCAGCCUGGAGCACAGCUUGGCUGGAAGCCACAGAUGAAAGGGAAGGGUAUGUCUCUCUAAACAACUCCCUGCCACUGCAGGCAGUGUUCUGUGGUCCAUUGAUUGCUCCUGUUAAAAGUGGAUCAGUCCUGUCAGAAAUGAGUUCUCACAUUAAACCUUGGCUUUGUCGGGAGUGUGACAGAGCAUAAACUGACAAACGGAAACCUGUACGUGGUUUUAAUGAAUGAAGUUCAUUAGUGGAUUUUUGAGACUGAUAUCAGUCACUUGUGAUACAGUUUAAAGACAAAGUUUCCCAAGGACACCCCAGUCCCGGUGCUUGCUGAACUGGGGCUGGCCUCCUGCUGGCUUAGGGACUGGUAUGCAGACAUGAUCUGGUGGGCUGUGAUGUGCAUGAGGCCAUUCUGGUAACACAACCUUUGUCCUUAAGCUCUAGAGGGCAACUCUAGCUGAACUGGUGACUUUGCUGAAAUCUGUACUUCAAAAAGGCUGAUCUCACUAAGAAAAAAAACAUGUUUCACUUUAAAGCAGAUUAAAUGCUAUUGGACAUCUUUUGAUAUGAUAAAUGCUUGCUCUUGGCAAGACCUUUGGUCACAAUAGCAAAUUUUAUAGAAUCAUUGAACUUCUGCAGAAUGAAAGACUGAAGAGCACUGGGAAUGGGAGGAAGAGAAAUUUUUAAGUUUUUUUUUAGUCUAACAAUAAGUAAUGAUUGGUGCAUCUUUAAAUGUUAGAAAUAUUCAAUACUCAUGCAUAAUUUUAUUUACAAAUGAGCAAAAUGCACGAGGUUAUUUAGAGAAAAAAAAAAAAAGAAAGUCCAGCAGAGAAUUUGUGCUCAUGAAGACUGUUGAAUGAAGCUCCUGGUACAAGGUUCAAUUGAUCUAGCCCAACUGACUCUCACCAAAAAUAGUCAAAGUCUAAAAUUAGAGUAAAUUAUCAAACCCAUUCUUUUAAAAAAACAGGAACAAAGUAACCCACUGCUGUCCUCUAACAUUUUAUAUGAGGAACCACAACAGAAGUACCAACUGCAGAAGUAUUAAAGUGGAGGUCCUUAGAGGAGAGAGCUAGUGCUAAGCCAUGUUUCUAUCUUGGAAGACCAUGUCCAAGUCGCUGAAGAAGAUCGUGGAGGAGAGCAGGGAGAAGAACCAGCCCGAGGUGGACAUGUGCGACCGGGGCAUCUCCAGCAUGCUGGACGUGCCUGGCCUGUUUACGUUGUCUCAUAUCACACAACUAGUUCUGAGUCACAACAAGCUUACAUCUGUGCCAGCAAACAUCGCAGACCUGAGAAAUAUAGAAGUGCUCAACUUUUUCAACAACCAGAUUGAGGAGCUGCCUACACAGAUUAGCAGCCUUCAGAAGCUCAAACAUCUGAACCUUGGCAUGAACAGGCUAAACACCUUGCCAAGGGGUUUUGGAUCUUUACCAGCUCUAGAAGUUCUUGACUUGACUUACAACAACUUAAAUGAAAAUUCCCUACCAGGAAACUUCUUCUAUCUAACCACCCUGCGUGCACUCUAUCUAAGUGACAACGAUUUUGAAAUCCUGCCGCCAGAUAUUGGGAAGCUCACAAAGUUGCAGAUACUGAGUCUUAGAGACAAUGACCUGAUAUCACUGCCUAAAGAAAUUGGUGAGCUCACCCAGCUUAAGGAACUGCAUAUCCAGGGAAAUCGUCUUACUGUGCUGCCCCCAGAACUGGGUAAUUUGGAUUUGACUGGUCAAAAGCAAGUCUUCAAAGCAGAGAACAAUCCUUGGGUUACCCCUAUUGCUGACCAGUUCCAGCUUGGAGUAUCUCAUGUUUUCGAAUACAUUCGUUCAGAAACAUAUAAAUAGCCAGUGUCAGGAAGAUGGGCAGCAGCGAGGAUUUGAGUGGAUCCUGUGGUGAUAGGCGUGGUGAAAAUGGAUGCUCAGUGCUGGAUGAAAGCCUUUUUAUUUGCAAGCUGACUGGCAGCAAGAAUUAAGCCCUUGAUCCCACAUCCUUUAUAUUGGUCAGUGGAACAGUGCCAUAAGCAGAUUGCUCAGUCUUUAUGGCAGACACAUGCAGGCAAACCCUGAACCUCCAAAGAAGAACAAUGACAAGUCAAAGAAGAUCAGCCGUAAGCCUCUGGCAGCCAAGAACAAAUAAGUGC